rnacentral:tmRNA from 1 species
GGGGAUGACUUGGUUUCGACGGGAAUAUUAGAGCAUAGAUGGCAAGUCGAAUGUCCGCGUCAAGGACACAAAAAAAUAAACGCAAACAAAAUUAAAAAUGCUAUUGGUAACUUCUUUGGUGGACGCCAAGCUGUUGCUUUUGCCUAAUAAUAAUAUAAAGGCUAGCGCUUCUAUUUAGCAUUUCCCUGUGUUAUAUAGAGGUUCAUUUUUUGGGAUAUAGCUAUUUCUUGCCUUAGAAAUAGAAAGAAUUUUGGGCUUAGUAUAUUAUCCAGGUCGUUAAUUACUCGGAUGAAUAUAUGAGAUAUAAAUUAGUUAACUAAACUUGUAGAAGUUUAUGUAGCUGUAUUUUCGGACAGGAGUUCGAUUCUCCUCAUCUCCACCA